rnacentral:rRNA from 1 species
ACGGGGUGCAGCAGGCGCGAAACCUUUACACUGCACGCCAGUGCGAUAAGGGGACCCCGAGUGCGAGGGCAUACAGUCCUCGCUUUUCGUGACCGUAAGAAGGUCUCAGAACAAGUGCUGGGCAAGACCGGUGCCAGCCGCCGCGGUAAUACCGGCAGCACGAGUGAUAGCCACUAUUAUUGGGCCUAAAGCGUCCGUAGCUGGCCGAACAGGUCCAUCGGGAAAUCCACCCGCUCAACGGGUGGGCGUCCGGUGGAAACCAGUCGGCUUGGGGCCGGAAGACCAGAGGGGUACGUCCGGGGUAGGAGUGAAAUCCUGUAAUCCUGGACGGACCACCGGUGGCGAAAGCGCCUCGGGAGGACGGAUCCGACAGUGAGGGACGAAAGCUUGGGUCACGAACCGGAUUAGAUACCCGGGUAGUCCAAGCUGUAAACGAUGCUCGCUAGGUGUGGCACUGGCUACGAGCCAGUGCUGUGCCGUAGGGAAGCCGAGAAGCGAGCCGCCUGGGAAGUACGUCCGCAAGACUGAAACUUAAAGGAAUUGGCGGGGGAGCAC